ACGGGCGUAGCUCAACGGUAGAGUAGUGGUCUCCAAAACCAUUGGUCGUGGGUNNGGGGGUUCGAAUCCCUCCGCCCGUGCCA
rnacentral:tRNA from 1 species